UACGGGGGGGGCAAGCGUUGUUCGGAUUUACUGGGCGUAAAGAGCGCGCAGGCGGUCGUACAAGUCGCGUGUGAAAGCCCCCGGCUCAACUGGGGAGGGUCACGCGAUACUGAUCGACUCGAAGGCAGGAGAGGGAAGUGGAAUUCCCGGUGUAGUGGUGAAAUGCGUAGAUAUCGGGAGGAACACCAGUGGCGAAGGCGACUUCCUGGCCUGUUCUUGACGCUGAGGCGCGAAAGCUAGGGGAGCAAACGGG
rnacentral:rRNA from 1 species